rnacentral:rRNA from 1 species
UAGGGAAUCUUCCACAAUGGACGAAAGUCUGAUGGAGCAACGCCGCGUGAGUGAAGAAGGGUUUCGGCUCGUAAAACUCUGUUGUUAAAGAAGAACAUAUCUGAGAGUAACUGUUCAGGUAUUGACGGUAUUAACCAGAAAGCCACGGCUAAACUACGUGCCAG